GUUCUCCCAGGGUCUUGUCUCCAAAAGGGGAAGGCUUUAGCCAUUUGAACUAAAUGACAUAUUUUACUAUAUGUUUUGAAAUAUAUAUAUAUUUAACUAUACAUAAACUACUAGGUUAAAAGAUUUCCAAACACUUAAGCAGUCCAUUCACUCAUGCUCGCUAACACACUCAUCUCACCUCACAUGGCCGCCGCCCCUUGUUUCCCUUCGCGUUGUAAUCUCACCUGACUCCUCCCUUUUCUACUUCUCCUUCUCCACCGCUCGUCGCCUGCAAACCACCACAAGGGGCAAACUUUCGAAUUUCCCAGCUGAAAUUCUCUUGUUUCGCUAUUUGGGUCAUCGUCAAGCUAUGCGUGGAGCUGAAUCUGAAGGUGGUGGUGGUUGUGCCGUCAGAGGCGAUCCAGCUGUUGCCAGAACCAGAACACCAAACCAAGAGGAACCAACAAGAUGAGAACCCUUGAAUGUCAUUAAUAAAACAUCGGAACCAGAACAGCUUUUAAUAUCAAGGAUCUUCAUACACUAUCAAAGGGAAGGCAUUGGAGGAAGAAGAUAACCUAACACCCUUGCGCAGCUUGCGAUUCAUACAAGGUUUGAGUUGGAACUUGCGGUUUCAUCUCCUCUAUAAGCCUCGACUUCUCAUGAUAGAGGGAGCAAUCUGCUUUGUGUUUCCCUUCUGUGGAUGUGAAGCUGCUUGAAUAAAGAGGUACAUCCCUAUCUGUCUAAGUUUGAAGCUACUGAAUGAAGGGUUUGACACAUGUGCUUGUGGGUAAAAUCGUUGUUGAGACUUAUCUUUAUGGGUUCUCACUAUUUUCAGCAACAAUCUUUACUGAACUGCUACCAUAUGUUGCUUUAAAACCUUGCUUGCAUGAGUUAAAUAUGAGGAUUCAAGCUUUUAAAGUUUAUUUUAGCUUGAAAUCCUUGUUAUGUUUUAGUACCCUUUCCUUGUUUUGUCAAUUUACUUGCAUAUUGAUGAAUGCUUUGAUUUAAGCUUGACUAU